rnacentral:rRNA from 1 species
AUGCAUGUCUCAGUACAAGCCGUCCUGUACGGUGAAACCGCGAAAGGCUCAUUAAAUCAGUUAUGGUUCCUUAGAUCGUACCCACGUUACAUGGAUAACUGUGGUAAUUCUAGAGCUAAUACAUGCCGACAGAGCUCCGACCAGCGUGUCGUCGUUCGGCGGCUCGUCCGUCGUCGGCGGCCGUUCGGAAGGAGCGCUUUUAUUAGAUCAAAACCGGCCAAGCGUUUCGUUCGUGCUUCGCGCACGUUCGGACGUAAGUGGCCCGCGCAAAGACUUGACGACUCUGAAUAACUUCGAGCUGAUCGCACGGUCCUAGUACCGGCGACGUAUCUUUCAAAUGUCUGCCUUAUCAACUGUCGACGGUAGGUUCUACGCCUACCGUGGUGGUAACGGGUAACGGGGAAUCAGGGUUCGAUUCCGGAGAGGGAGCCUGAGAAACGGCUACCACAUCCAAGGAAGGCAGCAGGCGCGUAAAUUAUCCAUUUG